rnacentral:rRNA from 1 species
CCUACGGGAGGCAGCAGUGGGGAAUAUUGCACAAUGGGGGAAACCCUGAUGCAGCGACGCCGCGUGAGUGAAGAAGUAUUUCGGUAUGUAAAGCCCUAUCAGCAGGGAAGAAAAUGACGGUACCUGACUAAGAAGCCCCGGCUAACUACGGGCCAGCAGCCGCGGUAAUACGUAGGGGGCAAGCGGUAUCCGGAUUUAAUGGGUGUAAAGGGAGCGUAGACGGGGCGGCAAGUCUGAAGUGAAAGGGAGGGGCUUAACCCCUGAAGUGCUUUGGAAACUGCCAUGCUAGAGUGCUGGAGAGGUAAGUGGAAUUCGUAGUGUAGCGGUGAAAUGCGUAGAUAUUAGGAGGAACACCAGUGGCGAAGGCGGCUUACUGGACAGUAACUGACGUUGAGGCUCGAAAGCGUGGGGAGCGAACAGGAUUAGAUACCCCAGUAGUC